AGGGUGAUAAAUGGAGAGUCAAGUUACUCCCAGAGUUCCUUCAAACACUUCAUUGGAAAUCUUUUGCAGGCAACUUUUGGCCCGUAGUUCUACUGAAGAGUUUGGGGGAACUUUGGGGUUCGCUUGACAAUAAGAAUUGCUUUUUUUUGGAAAGGCAACAAGAAGAAUUGUUUUAAUGGGUGAUCUUAGGUUUUCCUUCUUCAGAGUCAGAAUUACAACGACUUCAAGAGACGAUGGUUUAAGAUCAAUCUAGAUGGUUGCAACUACGUAUAAUGUGAUUAUAAAUUGAUGCAUUUUUGUGCAGACGUUCUUCAAUUCUCAGGAUCGACGCUCAUCUCAGUGUUUUUACGUCUGAAGUUCAGGUACGUCUGCAGACAAGCUUCAAGCAAGUUUUGUUGUCUUUUUGUAAUGUAAGGGUUUAGUUUCUGUUUGUCGCGUGUUUUUGGUUUGUUAUGAUGUUGAUUUGUUGGAUUUUUCUGCAUCUUGCAUUAAGUCUUUGUUGACUUUAUUGUAUUUGUUUUUUUUUCAAUAAAGUUUUACAAGAUGAAAGAUUGAACUUUAAGAAU